AUGACGCGCCCCGGGGCAGUCGUCGAGGCCGACAAGGCGGCGGACACGGCCACCGUGGCGACGGAGGGGCUCGACACCAACAGCGCGCCGGCGGCAUUCUCGCGGCCGUCCAGCAACCGCGGCUACGGUCUCUACGGCCGCCCGGAGGAGAACGAGAAGUACCCGCCGGCCUACUUCCGCCGCGGCGUGCACCGCGACGCUGAGAAGCUGACGACCACCAACGUCGUGCCGGAGACAGAGCCGAGGCACGGGGAGGAGGCGGCCGUCCCGGUGCAGGAAGAACAAUCCUCGGGCGAGGAGGAGCCGGCGUUCCCCGCGGACGGCAGCGGCAGGGGGCGGCCGCUGUCGUACAUGCGCCACGGCGGCAAGCACGACCGCGACUACUACGGGAUGAGCGACACGAGGCUGUACCAGAACGGCCGGUACUACUACGACGUGGAGACCGACAAGUACGGGUACGGCUACGAGUCCAACCCGGUGCGGACGGCGCGCCCCGAGCCCGAGGACAACGGCUCCGGGUACGGCCGCCCCGGCCGCGAGCGGAGGUACGGCGACGCUGCCGGAGACGAGAACGACAACGACAACGGGGUGGCCGAGAAGCAGAACGACGGCGGCCACCAGGAAAACCAGAACGGGCAGUACAAUCCAUGA
rnacentral:rRNA from 1 species